AGCAGUGGACAGGGCGGGGUAUGCAAAUGCCCCCUUCAGCCUUUCUUCCUCCCCAGCUCUCCGGGUCCUUCCCCAGAAGUCCCCACGACACAGCCUGUGACCCAGAGGCUGUUGGGAGGUUCGGAUCGCAGCUGUAUAGCCUUGGUUCCCAGAUGCCGGGCGACAACGAGGGCGAACACUGCCUCCCCUUCACGGCUGCGGCCAGCUGAAGCAGGGACCACGUCCGACCCGGUUCCAGGCUCAGCAGCGCGGUCCCGGGGUGAGUGCUCGGGGCCUCCGGGGGCAGAGGGCGCCCUCUACAGGCAGCCAGGGGCGGUGCCGCAGCAGAGUGACGGCAGUGGGGCGUGGAGUGAGUCCUGCUGCUCCAGGGAGCCUAGGGUGGCCUUUGGGCCCCAGGAGAGUGUAGGGUGGGAAGGGGCUGCUGUGAUAUCACCGGACGCCACCUUUCCUGGAGGCCACUCUGAGCUUUCCCACCCAAUGCUGUCCACUGUCCGGUGUAGCUUUGAUGGCUCUCCCAGACCCCCUCCUUCCAGCCAUUUAAGUCCAUCAGGUGCACUUCAUGAAGAGCUGCGGGUAAGAGCCCAGGCUUUGGCGUCGACCACAUCAGAACUGGGGUCCCAGUUUCUUACUCUCUGUGCCGCCCACCUUCCCAAGUCUAGUUGGGGUGAUCUCUGUGUCCACAGCCCAAGGUGGUUUUGAAGGGAAUGGCUUCACCAUGGUCAUGGUGAGAAGCAUCUGGCCAAUGACAAAUGCCCAAUCCCAGUCCAAGUUUUGUCCUGCCCAAGUUCCAGCCAGUGCUAAGUGAGAGCCUCAGGGAAGGAUAUUGAAGCUCAUCAAUUUUGGGCCAACUCAGUGAAGAAAAAUUUAAACAACCUUCUUGGAUUCACUGCACGUUACUUUUUGAACUUGUUUAUUUCCUGCUCUUUGGUUCUUUUUGGAGUACACCCACAUUGAUGCCAAAAAUACCUGAGUGACUCAGUGAACAACCUGAUGUCCUGUCCCUGGGAUGCCAUGUAUCUGAGAGCAAUCUGGGCCUUACUUAUUGUCUACAUAGUUCACAUUCUGCUGCUAUGAUGUGAGUGCCCAGAAAUGAGAUCAGCCGAGCCGGCAGCAGUGAGACCUCAGUGCAGAGAGAGGCUGGGUGGCUGGUGAGUUCUGGGAUAGCAGUUCCCCUCAGUGCGUUUUCACCUACCUGGUGAGUGUCCAUGGCUUGCAAAAAAUCUUCCUCCAUCCAGCAGUCUGUGCUGAGGUACAGCUCUGGGCCAGGCUCUUGAGCUGUGGAAACAAAGCAAAGUGGAUUGGUCUUUGUCUCUGCCUUGGUAGGAAACAGCAGCUGAGCUCCAGGACAGGAGCACUCCUGUAAAGCAUAUUCUUAAACAAGGCUUACAAAGCAAGCUCUCUCCUUGUUACCAUUGUCCUGCCGUGUGUUGGGAGGGAGUUACACCUAAGUCAGAAUACAUUCACCUGGUGAGAUGAUAGAUAAGUCAGCCCCAGUCCAAGGGCUGGGCUGUGGACCCUUUGAGAGCUCCAGUGGUUGAACUGCUGUUCAGUUUAGACCAUCAACCCAGUUUCGCACAGAGCAAAAGCUGUGGUAGCACAAACCAUUGCUGUCACCCUGGCUGAGGAGUCACCAGGGCUGGAGGGAUGAAGCAGAAAUGCUCCCUCCCAGGCCUAGUCCCUUAAUCAGGAGCCCUGACUUCUGGGUCUCCAGUUUACCACCUCUCUGGUCCUGGUGUGCCAUCCCUGCUCUUCCAUGUGCAGUGACUGGACGAUCACAAGCAACACCCUGACUUCAGGUCUUCACGUCUUUCCUCCACCGUGAGCUGCGAUGAUCUCAAUGAGUCUUGUUCUCUACCCUGUUGGGAAUGGCUGCAGGACCCUGCCGGCACUCUGCUGUAUUCUGUCAUUCACAUCUUAUGUCCUCUGGUUACUCCCAGUUUGUAGGCCGUAAGGAAUCCCCAACAGGUCAUGGGAGCAUCACUGCUUCCCAGGCUGGAGGUGGUGAUGGGCCGUGCAGAGCACUGGGCAUCUUCCUGCCGGUGGAAUGAGGCCUCCAGCACAAUUCCUAAUAGCCAAGUUAUGGAGCCAGCCCAGGUGUCCGAAAAUGGAUGAGUGGAAAAGGAAACGUGGUCUCUACACACAACGGAGAAAGCUCUGAAUAAAGAUUCGGCCAUGAAGAAGAAUGAAAUCAUGCCAUUUCCAGGACAAUGGAUGGAACCUGAGAGCAUUAUGCCAAGUGAAGUGAGCCAAACUCAGAAAGUCAAGGGUCAUAUGUCUCCCUCCUAUGUGACAGCUAGAGGGGAAAGAGCAGAGGUUUUCUUGGCCGGCUAAAAGGCCAGCAUCCCGUGGAGGUGCUCCCACUCAAGCGUUCCCCUGGACGGAUGACCUGACUUUGUCCCCCCUUGCCAUCUGGUUUUUACCGGAGAGAAGCAAGCCACCUCGAGGCGCCGGAUAAACGCCCUGGCUCAGCGUCGUAAGCAGGGGGUUGCUCCCAGCAGACUCUGCAGAGCAGCUGGUUGCAGCUGUGCACCUGCCCAGUGUGUGGGGGGUCCCUGGUGCCCCACAGCCAGGUGGCCUCUGCUGGUCUUCCUCAGCCUUUCCCCACUGACUUCCUGAAAGUCAACCUUGCUGGGAUCCCAGGAGGCAGCAGAAGGCUUCGUACACCUAUGACGGUGCCCUGGGCGGGCACACAGGGACACAGAAGAGGGACCAGCAUGUUUGCCCUGUGAAGCCAAGAAUGGCUGAACUGCACGGGCCUGUGUCCUCCUCUCUACAAUGGGAUGCCUCAUGUUUAUUCCUGAAUUUUCUUGCUUCUGUCAGGAAUCUGAUCAGAGUUUAAGUCAGUUUUCUAA